UACAGAGGGUGCGAGCGUUGUCCGGAAUCACUGGGCGUAAAGGGCGCGUAGGUGGCCUGGUAAGUAGGGGGUGAAAUCUCGAGGCUCAACUUCGAGGCUGCCUCCUAAACUGUCAGGCUUGAGCAGAGUAGAGGCAGGUGGAAUUCCCGGUGUAGCGGUGGAAUGCGUAGAGAUCCGGAAGAACACCGGUGGCGAAGGCGGCUCGCUGGGCAGUGGCUGACGCUGAGGCGCGACAGCGUGGGGAGCAAACAGG
rnacentral:rRNA from 1 species